rnacentral:rRNA from 1 species
AGUGAACGCUGGCGGUAGGCCUAACACAUGCAAGUCGAACGGCAGCACAGUAAGAGCUUGCUCUUACGGGUGGCGAGUGGCGGACGGGUGAGGAAUACAUCGGAAUCUACUUUUUCGUGGGGGAUAACGUAGGGAAACUUACGCUAAUACCGCAUACGACCUACGGGUGAAAGCAGGGGAUCUUCGGACCUUGCGCGAUUGAAUGAGCCGAUGUCGGAUUAGCUAGUUGGCGGGGUAAAGGCCCACCAAGGCGACGAUCCGUAGCUGGUCUGAGAGGAUGAUCAGCCACACUGGAACUGAGACACGGUCCAGACGCCUACGGGAGGCAGCAGUGGGGAAUAUUGGACAAUGGGCGCAAGCCUGAUCCAGCCAUACCGCGUGGGUGAAGAAGGCCUUCGGGUUGUAAAGCCCUUUUGUUGGGAAAGAAAGCAGCAGGUUAAUACCCCGCUGUUCUGACGGUACCCAAAGAAUAAGCACCGGCUAACUUCGUG